GAUGAACGCUGGCGGCGUGCCUAAUACAUGCAAGUCGAGCGAACAGACGAGGAGCUUGCUCCUCAGACGUUACCGGCGGACGGGUGAGUAACACGUGGAUAACCUACCUAUCAGCCUGGGAUAACUUCGGGAAACCGGGUCUAAUACCGGAUAAUAUAUUGAACCGCAUGGUUCCAUAGUGAAAGACGGUUUUGAUGUCACUUACAGGUGGAUCCGCGCCGCAUUAGCUAGUUUGUAAGGUAACUGCUUACCAAGGCAACGAUGCGUAGCCGAUCCGAGAGGGUGAUCGACCCCACGGGAAGUGAGACACGGGCCCGACUCCGGCGGGAGACAGCAGUAGGUAUUCGUCCGCAACUGGCAAAAGCUUGACGGAGCAACGCCGCGUGAGUAAGGAAGGUCGGGGGCUCGGAAAACUCUGUUAGUAGGGAAGAACGAACGUGUAAUUGACUAUGCACGUCUUGGCGGUAGCCAGUCAGAGAACCACGGCGAACUCCGAG
rnacentral:rRNA from 1 species